GCGGCCAUCGUGGUUGUGUUUAACUUCGCCAUGGUGCUGCUCAUCUUCCCCGCCAUCCUGAGCUUGGACCUCCACCGACGCGAGGACAAGCGUUUGGACGUCCUCUGCUGCCUGUACAGCCCCUGCUCCAACCGCGUCAUCCACCUCUCCCCGCACGAGCUGUCGGAUGCCGGAGAGCAGCCGCACACGCCCACGACGGCAACGACGCACACGCACCAGUACGCUGCGGGGUCCACGAUCACGACCAGCACCCAGAUCACAACCACAGUGCAGGCGUUCACUCAGUGUGACGCAGCAGGACAGCACAUAGUUACAAUCCUACCGCCUACCUCACAGAUCUCCACCAGCCCACCUUCCAUCAUCCUCUGCCCCACCUCCCAGGCUUCAGCUAUAACACCUUCCCCCACCACCACCUCAGUGCCUGACCCCUACGGCUCUCAGCUCUUCAACCCUACCUCCAGCUCCACCCGGGACCUCCUCGCCCAGGUGAAAGACUCCAAAUCGGGAAAAAAGUGCGUCCCACUCCCUUUCCUACACUGGAACCUGUCCAGCUUUGCCAAGGAGAAAUACGCCCCUCUGCUUCUCAAUCCGAAAAGCAAAGCAAUUGUGGUGGUCCUCUUCCUGGGCCUCCUGGGCCUCAGUUUGUACGGGACAACCAUGGUGCACGACGGGCUCUACCUGACCGACAUUGUGCCACGCGACACCAAGGAGUAUGAUUUCAUUGAUGCCCAGUUUAAGUACUUCUCCUUCUACAACAUGUACCUGGUCACCAUGGAUGGAUUUGACUAUGCUCGGUCGCAGCGGUUGCUGAUCCAGCUGCACAAUGCUUUUAACUCUGUUAGAUACGUGGUCAGAGACAGCGACAGCAAACUGCCCCGCAUGUGGCUGCACUACUUCCAGGAUUGGCUCAGAG